UUUCUCUCCUCCGCGCCGCCGCCGCCGGUGCGCAGGCCGGCUGGGGACUCGCCUGCGCUCGGGCCUUCGGUUUCGCUCCCUCGCUGAGUCCCUUCUCCCCGCCAACAAAAGGUGAUGAUUCCUAGCGGACUGGGCACGCCUGGACGGCGGAGGGUGGCUGGGAGGCGCGAGGUCACGCUAGCAACCUGUGGCUGCCAGGAGAAGGCGGCUGGGAAGCCACGGAAAGACCCGGGAGCGCAGGAGAGGUGGCUCAGCUCGCGCGCAGCCCCUGCUCUUAUUUUACUAUUAUGCGUGUUGCUGUUCGUAUCCUUCUGGGCGGUGAAGGGGAGAGGCAGCCUCCCGCUCCGGUGAAACCCGUCCUGGGAGUCGCCCAUAAACCCUGUUCUCCAUCUCGGGCGGCUGGAGGGGUGAGGGGGGUGCGGCGCCUUGGUGGGAUUGGCAGGUGGUGGCUUCCAGGGCGCAGAGGAGAAAAAUCUCUGCUCUUGGGCGCCAGGAUCAAGGAUACCCAAACCCGCGGUGGCUCUGCCGCCUGUUCCUCUCUCUUGGGGUACUGGGGCACCUGGGCCGCAUCCCUUGUGAAGUGUAGAGCAGCAGAGAGGCCCGGCCGCCGGCCCAGCGGCCCUCCCAAACUUCCGAAAUGCCGACGGGUUGGACGGGUUUCCGAGAGCUGGCGAGUUGAGAAGGACAGGAGGUAUGGGGUGGGGGAGGGGCCUGGACCGUUGGAGUGGGUCCUGGAGACCCUAAGUGGCCUAUGACAAGAUUUGGAAAGGUCCCUGGUUGACGCUAGGGAGCUGGUGGGGAUCCUAGCAGCGCAUUUUGUCUGUGGGCCCUGGGCCAGACUCUAGUCUCCCUGAGUGCCCAGAUGGGGGUCUGAGAUUACCUAUUGGACCCUCUCUUGGCAAAGACAACCAUAGUGUGAUAGUUUGCUUUUUGCUCCCAAAUAUGUGUGAGUUCAGCCUGUCUGGGAGAAUGUUGAUGUUAGAAAUCAGGCCCAGAGGCCAACAUUGGCAAUUCCUAGAUUUAAGAUUAAAAGAAAAUCAGAGGGUCUCUGGACCUAGUUGUGGGCCGGUGGGAACUCUCCUCCUACCCACCUGCAAGGUCCCAGGACUGGGCAUAGGCAGAGAUCUCUGGAGUGUUGCAGUUAGAGGGUUAUUUUUGUGUUGUUCCUGUAUUUGUUAAUGAAAUUGAUAUUAUUUUGACUUCCUCACUAAAGAUGCAAGUAUUUCUCAGACCUAGGGAGUUGAGUAGGGAGUCUGGGUGGGGUGGAGGCUUUUUCUAUGCACAUUUUCCCUUACUCUGUCACAGCUUUCACAGUCUCAGUUCCCUCCAGCCCAAUCCCCAGACUCUCAGCUUAGUAAAUUCACGGCUUCUGGGAGCUUCAGAAAGUUGGUUCGGAAACCCCAGAUGCCCAUUUUGGCCCUACCACCAGCAACCCAAGCAGGUGGCUAGGCGAGUUCAUAUGUGUUUAGAAGGAAAGGACCCGUCUGGGGCUAGGAAGGUGGGGAAAUGGGGUUCCUCCCCACACCUCCCCGGGAUAGACCCUCUCUCCUGGCUCCCAGGAUGUGUGAGAGGCUGGGAGGGGCUCUAUAUCAUCUGGCUGCAUCUUUUAUGGUUCCUCAUUGCCCUUCAUUCGGAAAUGAAACGCCUUUGAUCUUUUCUCAGGUUGUAAACGGAAUUGCCCGUCAUUAAAUAUCCGGGGCCCCAUCUGCUUGGUCUCCCAGCAUUUUUCUUUACAGCUGUUUCUCUCUCUUUUUACCACUGAAUUUUUCCAAAAGGACUUUUAUUACACCACCUUCACACCCAGCCGCCUCUUCCUCCUCCCUUCGCUGAGAGGCGCUUUGGAAAAUAUCUAGAUAUUCGUUUGAUCACAAACUAAAGGCUUGGAGGGGCACGGAGGAGCCGAUUGGGGUUUUGUUUUUUCUAAAAAAAAAAAAAAAAAAAAAAAAAAAAAAAAAAAAAGUCCUGGGGGGAGGGGAGGGGCGCGAAGGCACCCAGAAAGGCCUGAAUCUGACUUCACGGCAGCCUCAGAAUGACCCUUCCUCCUUUUGUGCUUAGCUAAUGUUUACAUCUCAUAAUUCAUGCGCCACCGAGAGUUGCGCGGCGGCGGCGGAGGCAAGGUUCCCGUCCCUUUGCGAACUGGCUACUUGAAAUUCUAAUAGAAGAGGAGAAUUGAAAACCUUGUAAUCCCAAGAACGGACUCGCACUGCCUUUUUCUGUUCCCAGAGCUCAAAACUAGAACAAAACGAAAUAAAACCAAAGCACUCAAACCACACCCCAAACGAAGAAGGCGCGGAAAGUAGGAGAACUGGAAAAUUUCUGGGCCAAGAAGAUCUGUCUGUCUUCUGUAUAUACCCUGUAGAUCCGAAUUUGUGUAAGGAAUUUUGUGGUCACAAAUUCGUAUCUAGGGGAAUAUGUAGUUGACAUAAACACUCCGCUCUUAUUUUUCCAGAAGAUAUGUAUAUGUAGUAUUUUUCUGAAUGAGGACAGUCUGGUGACUGGCCACCCGAAGACUCCUUCCUCUUUAUUCCUCUAACUUUUCCUCCUUCAACUGGUUAGAGAUGGAGAAAUCAUCUACCUGAACUCUCCCCAAGCCUGCCCCUGGGAGCCUUGGUCCCUUUUCACAUCUCUUUAA
rnacentral:sRNA from 1 species